AUACCUUUAAAUCCUGGUCUGG
rnacentral:miRNA from 1 species